UACGUAGGGUGCAAGCGUUAUCCGGAAUUAUUGAGCGUAAAGAGCUCGUAGGCGGUUUGUCGCGUCUGCUGUGAAAACUGGAGGCUCAACCUCCAGCCUGCAGUGGGGUACGGGCAGACUAGAGUGCGGUAGGGGGAGAUUGGAAUUCCUGGUGUAGCGGUGGAAUGCGCAGAUAUCAGGAGGAACACCGAUGGCGAAGGCAGAUCUCUGGGCCGUAACUGACGCUGAGGAGCGAAAAGCAUGGGGAGUGAACAGG
rnacentral:rRNA from 1 species